rnacentral:tRNA from 2 species
GUGGUUGUAGCUCAGUUGGUUAGAGCGUCAGAUUGUGGCUCUGAAGGUCGUGGGUUCGAUCCCCAUCAUCCACCCCA